GAUCAACGCUGGCGGCGUGCCUAAUGCAUGCAAGUCGAGCGCGGACCCUUUCGGGGGUGCUGCGCGGCGGACGGGUGCGUAACACGUGGGCAACCUGCCCUGGGGUGGGGGAUAGCCGUGGGAAACCGCGGGUAAUUCCGCAUACGUUGCGUCUCCAGCCGGGAGGCACAAGAAAGACGCUUUGGCGUCGCCCGAGGAGGGGCCUGCGGCCGAUUAGCUAGUUGGUGAGGUAAGGGCUUACCAAGGCGAUGAUCGGUAGCUGGUCUGAGAGGACGGCCAGCCACACGGGGACUGAGACACGGCCCCGACUCCUACGGGAGGCAGCAGCAAGGAAUCUUCCGCAAUGGGGGCAACCCUGACGGAGCAACGCCGCGUGGGGGAUGACGCCCUUCGGGGUGUAAACCCCUUUUCUGCGGGAAGAAGGGUGGGGGCGACCUCAUCUUGACGGUACCGCAGGAAGAAGGACCGGCUAACUACGUGCCAGCCGCCGCCGUAACAC
rnacentral:rRNA from 1 species